CGGGGUUGGGUACAGAGCGAGGAGAGCAUCACGUUAAGGGUUUUUUGUUUUUUGUUUUUUGUUUUUUGAGACAGAGUCUUGCUCUGUCGCCCAGGCUGGAGUGCAGUGGCACAAUCUCAGCUCACUGCAACCUCCACCUCCCAGGUUCAAGCAAUUCUCCUGCCUCAGCCCCCUGAGUAGCUGGGAUUACAGGCGCCCGCCACCACAACCAGCUAAUUUUUGUAUUUUUAGUAGAGAUGGGGUUUCAUCAUGUUGGUCAGGCUGGUCUCGAACUCCUAACCUUCUGAUCCACCCGCCUCGGCCUCCCAAAGUGCUGGGAUUACAGGCAUGAGCCACCGUGCCUGGCAACAGUUUCUUACUAAGAACUAGCACUUGAGAAAGUUAUAUAAAAUAUGCUCAAAAAGAUAUAAUUAUCUCUCAUUUUAUUUUAUUUUUUUGAGAUGGAAUCUUGCUCUGUCGCCCAGGCCGAAGCGCAGUGGCACAAUCUCAGCUCAAUGCAACCUCUGCCUCCCAGGUUCAAGUGAUUCUCCUUCCUCAGCCUCCGGAGUAGCUGGGAUUACAGGCACAUGCCACCACACCCA
rnacentral:lncRNA from 10 species